UGCGCAGGUGGUUGUGUAAGCUUGAUGUGAAAUCCCCGGGCUCAACCUGGGAACUGCAUUGAGGACUGCACGGCUAGAGUGUGGCAGAGGGGGGUAGAAUUCCACGUGUAGCAGUGAAAUGCGUAGAGAUGUGGAGGAAUACCAAUGGCGAAGGCAGCCCCCUGGGUUAACACUGACACUCAUGCACGAAAGCGUGGGGAGCAAACAGGAUUAGAUACCCUGGUAGUCCACGCCCUAAACGAUGUCUACUAGUUGUUGGGAAGGGAGACCUUCUUAGUAACGCAGCUAACGCGUGAAGUAGACCGCCUGGGGAGUACGGUCGCAAGAUUAAA
rnacentral:rRNA from 1 species